GGCCUCUCACUGUCGUGGCCUCUCCCGUUGUGGAGCACAGGCUCCGGACGCGCAGGCUCACCGGCCGUGGCUCACGGGCCCAGCCGCUCCGCGGCACGUGGGAUCUUCCCGGACCGGGGCGCGAACCCGUGUCCCCUGCAUCGGCAGGCGGAUUCUCAACCACUGCGCCACCAGGGAAGCCCCGGGAUGCUUUUUGAGCCACAAGAUCCAGCACAUCUAAUGGAAAUAAAAGUAUCAGCAUUGGAUUUGAAUGCUAUCUGGAUUCUCUGGCAAGCCCUGAUGAAAGAGUUGCAGCAAAGCCCUCCAGAAUAUGGGGCAGGUCCACACUCUCCCCAGCACUUAUAAAACAGCUGCUGGGAGCUGUCAGCCCCGGUAGACAUACAGCAGAGGGUCAUGGCCACAAGUGACUAUGCAGAAGAGCUUCCCGUCAUGAGCUGUCAUCUGACCCACUGAGUCAUAAGAGAGUCAGUCACAAGGCAGGCAUGCCCAGGAGCCAUCUGGCAUGUAAUGGUAGCGGCACUUUUGAAUCAGGCUCAAGCCAGUGCAGAAGACGGGAGUAAAUUCCAACAGACCCACCACCUCUUCUCUCUCAAGCCUCACCCACGGCCCCUGGGGAGUUCCUGAUAACCAGCUGGUGGCAAAACGAUGGGCUUGGGCCAGUGACCCACUUGUGGAAUUUGUGCUUCCUGUCCCUAAAACUCUGUCAAGUUAGAGUUCCUGGGAUCUCUCCCAGGAGAGAACACUGAAACCUGGGACACAGCAGGUUUUGCUAAUUACCACUGGGCUACUAAUUAUCACUGGUGAAGUUUCCACAAAUGAUCACUGGCUCUGCAUGCCAGUGGACCAAGGACAAGACGGUACCAGAUCCUGAUCACCACGAGAAGCUCCUGCACGACGGGGACAGGGAAGAUUGUCGGGAACUUGGGGAUUCCCUGGGACAGCUCAUCUUAAGGCUUCCAAGAGACAGCUGCUGGCCGUCACCUUGAGAGGGCGUCUGUGAUCGAUUGGAAUGACGCCAUCUUGUUUCCAUUGAGAAGGGAAAAAGUGAGCCCCCGCAUUAUAACAUGCAAGGAAACUAACAGAUCCAGGGCAGCAAGGGGAGGACGGCAAUGGACGCAAAUGUUACGCAUCGCCCUGGGUCCCCUCGCUGCUGCCCGCCUCCUGAACCUCCCUGUGGCUUGUUCCUCCCCAGCUGUUUCUACUCCCAGUUGACUCAGUUAGCGCCCAGAUUGUUCUGGCACCUGGGACAGAGUAGCCCUGUGCUCUGUGGACGCUGGACGCCUCUCCUUGGUUGCCACUACAUCAUCAGACCUACUUUACACACAUCUGCAGUGCUGGCCUUCUCUUCACUCCUCUGGAUGAAGCCCCACAUCCCAAGCUGCAGGCUCUGCGCCCUGACUGCCCACUGAAGGGCCAAAUGAAGUAACGUAGAAGGGUGAGAAAGUGACCUCCUGGUAGGGCAAACUUUGGCCAAUGGAAAACUGAAGGCAUCUAGGCAGACACAUGUCCUCCCCUCUUCCCUCUCACGAAGUGCUGAGGAAAUUCCCCCUCCCAGUCUUUCCAAAGAAGUCCCACGGGCCAAGCGAACUCACCUGCCAAGCAUCUGCUCGCCCCUUUGGGCUCGCUGUGAAAUGGUACCAGCGUGGCGAUGCAUCACUUCACACUGGGCCGCACUACUGCUUGCCUUUCUCUGUCUCCCCUCCUUGCUCCCUGGUUUGCAUCUCCCCUGAAAAAGCAUCGUGCCAACUUCAUCUUUGCCUCAGGCUGUUUUCUAGAAAACCCAGGCUAAGCCGUACUUCACGUAUUUACUUUCAUUUUGAAAUUUUUAUUGGAUAAAAUAUUUAAAGCUGUGGUCUUUUCUUUCUGUAAUUGUUUCCCCACUCAGGGAGUCAGAACACGGAGCAACCCAGGCAGGCGGCCGGCAAAGGGCCUCAGAAGGGAUGUGCUCGGCAGCGGUCCAUCCCGAGUUGCCACCACGAGGGGGCGCAGCCAGCGCGGUGGAAGAGAAGCAGCGCGUCUGCCGCGAGCUUCCCGAUCAGGGUAUCAGGCCGGAGUCUGCAAUCCCCAGAGAGCCUCCUGCAAAGCCGAGAUGGGCUGGUGUCCUCUCCCCGACGGAACCCUGCUCUCCAAAGCUCAGCGUGCCCUGUGUCCGUGGGAAUCCCAGCACUGCUUCCUCUUCAAGUCUAUCUAGAAGUUCACUGGCCAGCUCAGCCCUUGCUGAACAAUUCUGGAACGGUCCUUGGAUCGCCUUGGAAAAAGGGGAGAUCUGCCCGGGGGAAGCACUGCUGCUCACAUCCAAGGGGGUCUGUGUGUCCAGCAGUGGUGCGCAGUGGUGGACAGCCCAGAGCCUGAACUGAAAGCCACAUUCUCCAUGUAAGCUGUUUCAGUAAUGACCAGGAUAUUUUGAUCUUCACCUGCCUGCCAAACUCAGAUUGUGCACAGGUUCAGCAUCUGCGGCACCCACCUGGAAGGCUCAGAGAGUUGGAGCACCACGGCUCCCUCCUUCCUGGGGUCUCCCCCGUGCAGCCCUCCCGGGUGAGGCUCCAGCACACGCCUGAUCCAUCCACGAAAUCCAAGGACUGUUUACCGCCCUGCAAUAAUGGGCAGAAGUCGGGGCUGAGGCUGCUCCGCGCCCACUUACGCCGCAGGCAAGCCACCUCCACUUCCCUCCAUGUUGCCGUGGUCUGCGGGCCUCUGGGUCUCUCUCUGGCAUCCUCGGGGAACGUCAGCCCCUGCCCGCUGCCCCCUCUGCCACGUGGCCAGCAUCCACAUCUGCCUCCCGCUUCCUGGAGCCCUCGGCUCCCCACAACAUCAGCCACGCUGUCUCAGAGCCUCACCCCCACUGUGUCUUCACCGGUAACUGCAGCAGUAACACGACCCCAACUGUCCUCCUGUCCCCACACCCACCCACUCACGCCUGCAACAGCACCCCAGCCCCCUGGGACCCCAUCUUCUGACCCAGCGCCAUUUCACAGCCCCUCCCCAUCUCACGCGCCCACCAGCCUCCUGCCAGCUGAGACCCCAGGUCCCCUGCUCUAACCUCCCCUGGGGGAACCCCUCACACCUCAGCUCUGCUCACCCCCUGGUGUGAUCGCCUGACCCAAACCAUGUUCUCGGUUAAACCCAACUCUGUGACUCCGGGCUGGCACCUGAGCACUGAACUUGGCUGGAGAAAAUUUCAGCCUGCUGAUGAACCCACUUCGAGGACACUCGGCUUUGCCGGAUGAUCCCGCACCAGAGAAUCCCAAGUCUCCUCUCUCCUGGGACCUCCAGCCUCUCAAUGAAAUGUUAGAUUAUAACAUGUAUAACAGGUUCCCGUGGCUCAAUAAUGAAAAAAUUAGAACAGGACCCACAGUGAAAUAUCUCCUCCCCAACUUCUGUCUCCCUCCCCUUCCCCUCCCCCUCCCCUCCUCUCCUUCCCCCCCACCAACCCGUGCACACGCACUGUGCGCGUGCACUCACCAACAACCAUUCUUAGUUCCUGGUGUGUUCUUCCAGGCUGCCUUAAUGCACACACAGGCAGACACGAAUGUCUAUCUUUUCCUACUUUUGUUUCUUUCGAUGGCAGAACACCACCAGCUGUUCUGCGUUGUGCUUUUUUUCUCAACAUCAUAUGUUGGGACAAUUUUCAAAUCAGAACCAAGAGAACUUCCUCAUUUUCUUUUCUGGCCGAAUGGUACUCCAUUGUCUGGGCGCGCUGCAACUGGUUCCCGGGUGUCUGUUGACGGACAUGCAGGGAGUUUCCAAUAUUUUGCUGCUACAAUGGAA